GGGAGGCCGCGGCCGGGCUUCCACUAGCCCGUUCCGCUGGCCGGGGAGGGGAAGGCGCCCGCCCGCCCGGGACGCUGGGGCCCAGGGUCCUUGUGCUAGAUCCCCUUCUCUCUCGCAGGCUUCCGCGGCUCUGUCCCUGUUCCCCUCUCGUCACUGGUCCAAAGCAGUGUUGUACGAGGUUUGGAGCAAACAGAACCAAGUUGAAAUUACUUGCUCACCAUGUAAUUGUUAAACACCUAGGGCAGGUGUUUAACUUUAUUGAACCUCAGGUUCCUCACCUGGAAAAUGGGACUACUAAUACCUCGGUGUCUUUGUGAAGAUUGUAAAGCCUUGCCUGGCACGUGGUGAGCCCCCCAAACACACUGAACCGGGAAGGAUGCAGUCGUGAGUGGAGGGCGCCCGCUGGUUAGGCCCAAAUGUGGUCCAUCCACACAGGGAAGUAUUAUUCAGCCACAGAAAGGAAGGAAGUACUGAUACAUCCUCCAACGUGGAUGAACCUUGAAAUCACGCAAGUGAAAGAACCGAGACACAAAAGGCCAUGAGUUCCAUGCAUCUUUUCCCCUGAGGGAUGUGAAGAUUUUCCAGAUCAUUCCAAGCAGGUUGGAGUUAAGAGAACAAGUUCCUACUCAGCUAUAAGAAACAAUGUAUUUUCCUGGAAAGAGCUGGAGCCCAUUCUACUAAGU